AACGAACGCUGGCGGCAGGCCUUAUACAUGCAAGUCGAGCGAGAAGCACCCUUCGGGGUGUGGGCAGCGGCGGACGGGUGAGUAACGCGUGGGAACCUACCUAGCAGCGGGGGGCAACCAUUGGAAACGAUGGCUAAUACCGCAUACGCCCUUAGGGGGAAAGAUUUAUCACUGUUAGAUGGGCCCGCGUUAGAUUAGAUAGUUGGUGGGGUAAUGGCCUACCAAGUCGACGAUCUAUAGCUGGUUUGAGAGGAUGAUCAGCCACACUGGAACUGAGACACGGUCCAGACUCCUACGGGAGCAGCAGUAGGGAAUAUUGCACAAUGGAGGAAACUCUGAUGCAGCCAUGCCGCGUGAGUGAAGAAGGCCUUCGGGUUGUAAAGCUCUUUCAAUGGUGAAGAUGAUGACGGUAACCAUAGAAGAAGCCCCGGCUAAC
rnacentral:rRNA from 1 species